UCAACCUGAGAGUUUGAUUCUGGCUCAGAACGAACGCUGGCGGCAGGCUUAACACAUGCAAGUCGAACGCACCUUCGGGUGAGUGGCAGACGGGUGAGUAACGCGUGGGAACAUGCCCAUCAGUACGGAAUAGCUCCGGGAAACUGGAAUUAAUACCGUAUACGUCCUUCGGGAGAAAGAUUUAUCGCUGAUGGAUUGGCCCGCGUUAGAUUAGCUAGUUGGUAGGGUAAAGGCCUACCAAGGCGACGAUCUAUAGCUGGUCUGAGAGGAUGAUCAGCCACACUGGGACUGAGACACGGC
rnacentral:rRNA from 1 species